rnacentral:rRNA from 1 species
UACGUAGGGACCAAGCGUUGUUCGGAUUUACUGGGCGUAAAGUGUGCGCAGGCGGCCGCGCAAGUCGAGUGUGAAAGCCCCGAGCUUAACUUGGGAAUUGCGCUCGAAACUACGUGGCUGGAGUGUGGCAGAGGAAGGUGGAAUUCCACGUGUAGCGGUGAAAUGCGUAGAGAUGUGGAGGAACACCAAUGGCGAAGGCAGCCUUCUGGGCCAACACUGACGCUCAUGCACGAAAGCGUGGGGAGCAAACAGG